AAUCAAACCCAAGCAUUGUCAUUGCGGAAGUGGAACUGACAGGGUGACGGUGCACUGCACUUGGUAUUUGUUUAGCUAAGCCCAAAAAAUGCUAAGCAAUAUUUUGAGGUAAAGGCUUUCUGCAUCUUGAAGGCGAACACAGAGAGAAUGGCAUAAUUUGUACUACAUGCACAUUCUGCACUUUAACCAGGUAUGGUUCUUAUCUGACUAGAAUGAAAGCCUGCAGUCGCACUGGCCCUGAUAAGCUUGGAGACCUGGAUCUAAACCUUCCUGAAUGUUCAGGUUUGAAUACAAACACUUUAAAUGACCUGAAUGUUAAUGAAAGUUUACUACAGUCUGUAUGCAUGUGUAUCUGUUUAUCUGUCUGUCUGUCUGUUACUGAGGAGUUAUUAGAACCUAAAGAGCAGGAUUAAUAUGGGUGGAAAGUUGAUAAAUUAACAUAAAUAUGACUGCAUAUAAAAGAAGAUAUAAGAAAUAAUUACUGCUUGAUGCCUGGACCCUAUAACACCAAUUUAAAAAUGCAAACGGCUUGUUUCUGCUUUUUCUUGUUAUGCUCCUAUCAACGUUAUUCCAACCUGCAGUAAGAUUUAGCACCCAAUCCAUACGCUCGAUUGCCUGAUUGACACUACAUGCCCAAGGCUGUGGUGGAAAAGACAGCAGCGGUAAAAUGUUUAAAAUGUCAGCUUACAUAUAUUUGGAUAUCUACAUUGUAACAACAUGGACAUGACUUUUCUCUCCCUCAAGCUAGUUAACAAAGUCUGAUAGAAUGGACUGCCUUGUGCUAAACUGCUAGAAUACUAAACAUGAUAAAUUUGCAAAUAAAACCAGCAGAGCACCUGCACUAUGGUUUUGCUGCCUAUCUUGCUAUGCACUUAAAGCCAUGUUCUAAUUCAGAAGGUACAAAAGAAACAAGAAAAUAAUUUUUACUCUUCUAUUAACAUGGAAACACAUUUGUUUGAACCUGGAGGGUCCUUUAGGCAUUAAACCUACAGCACUUGUGUUU